rnacentral:lncRNA from 1 species
GUGUUAAAGUGUGAAUCCCAUGUCCCUAAAGUUAUGGUCACUACAGCACUGUGACUUUAAUAUGUGAAGAUGUGGCUAUCAGAAUGUGGCUACCGCAUGGCUACUGACUUCCAUCAGGUGGCUUCAGUAUCUCAGAUCCCAACACAUCAGUACCACCUACAAUUAUGUGGCUGGUUUUAGUGUUGUAUGUGUGUAAGUGUUUUGUAGAAUCUCAGACUUAAUGCUGAUGAUUUGGCCAAAAGGCCGCCAAUGCCAGCCCGUCACUACAUCUACAAAUAUGUGGCUACUAGAGUUCAACAUGUGGCCACCAAGAUUUAAAUUGCAACAACCACAUCACCCAAACUUGGCUUCUGUCCUCUAACAUGUGGCUGAUGGUGUUCCAGAGGUUCUACCAUGUUCUCAUAUGUGACUAACGCUUCCAAACAUGUGGUUUUGAUACUAUGAACAAGAGUGACUUCCAUAUAUGUGUGGACAUAACUUCUGUUUCCCUGCUGUAAAGAAACCACCUCCCCUAAGAUACAGUAUGACCACGGUGUAAGAACAGAUGAUCAAGGACGGACCAAAGCGUGACUGUGAUCGUGUGGCUACUACAUGUGGCUCUUAUUGCCCAGUAUGGGACCUGACAGUGUUUCCAAAAGCCCACAUAACCACGACUCCCCAGUGUGUGGCUUCCACAAUGGAACUCGUCAGCAUGCUCCCUGCUAACAGUCGUGAGGCGUUCGCUGUCCCGCUCGGCCUCCGUGACCUCUGUGCUGCUGUGUGAGAGAGGACGAAGGUUCUGCUGCGUCUUGUCAUUUUAAUGUCCUGCUCCGCUGGUAUUUCCUGUCUGAGAGACGACGAGAUGCAGCUCUUUGUCUUCCAGCGCUGAAGAGGCUCCGUCAGCAGCAGCAGCUCCUGUCGGAGGAGACACUCGAACGCAGCAUCAAUCAUCUUUACAGAUUCUCCUCGACCUCUCAGCGCCGCUCUGACGAGACCACGUGUCAGGACGAACACAAGGGGAAUUUUUACAUGUGAUAAAAAAGGUUUCAGGCAGAAAACACCGGGAAGAUGAGAAGCAGAUCCUGGUUCUGGUCCUGACCCAGUUCAUUGUGUCACUGAUGGUCGUUGCUUCUGCAAUGCUUAUUAUUAAAAAACAGGUGUUAAUUCACUCAUUUCACGCCUCCAUUUAAUUUAAUGUUCACAUCCUGGUCUUUGGACC